rnacentral:rRNA from 1 species
ACGGAAGGCAGCAGUGGGGAAUAUUGGACAAUGGGGGAAACCCUGAUCCAGCGACGCCGCGUGAGUGAAGAAGUAUUUCGGUAUGUAAAGCUCUAUCAGCAAGGAAGAAAAUGACGGUACUUGACUAAGAAGCCCCGGCUAACUACGUGCCAGCAGCCGCGGUAAUACGUAGGGGGCAAGCGUUAUCCGGAUUUACUGGGUGUAAAGGGAGCGUAGACGGCAUAGCAAGUCUGAAGUGAAAUGCAUGGGCUCAACCCAUGAACUGCUUUGGAAACUGUUAAGCUAGAGUGCGGGAGAGGUAAGUGGAAUUCCUAGUGUAGCGGUGAAAUGCGUAGAUAUUAGGAGGAACACCAGUGGCGAAGGCGGCUUACUGGACUGUAACUGACGUUGAGGCUCGAAAGCGUGGGGAGCAAACAGGAUUAGAUACCCUGGUA